rnacentral:piRNA from 1 species
AACAUUGAUAGAACCAGUUUCCAGA